rnacentral:ncRNA from 1 species
GCAGGGCAUGUUUCAAUACGAUUUUGGGAAAGCUCACGCCCUUCAAUCGCGCGGUGCGGAUAUACUGCGCCGUCAUCACCUCGGUCAUCGAGGCCCGCGUCAUGCGCGCGAUAUAACCCAUGCCAUAAAGGGCAAUGGUCAGCACCGGCAGCAGGAAGUUCUCCAGA